AGACCCGAAACCCGGUGAUCUAGCCAUGGGCAGGUUGAAGGUUGGGUAACACUAACUGGAGGACCGAACCGACUAAUGUUGAAAAAUUAGCGGAUGACUUGUGGCUGGGGGUGAAAGGCCAAUCAAACCGGGAGAUAGCUGGUUCUCCCCGAAAGCUAUUUAGGUAGCGCCUCGUGAAUUCAUCUCCGGGGGUAGAGCACUGUUUCGGCAAGGGGGUCAUCCCGACUUACCAACCCGAUGCAAACUGCGAAUACCGGAGAAUGUUAUCACGGGAGACACACGGCGGGUGCUAACGUCCGUCGUGAAGAGGGAAACAACCCAGACCGCCAGCUAAGGUCCCAAAGUCAUGGUUAAGUGGGAAACGAUGUGGGAAGGCCCAGACAGCCAGGAUGUUGGCUUAGAAGCAGCCAUCAUUUAAAGAAAGCGUAAUAGCUCACUGGUCGAGUCGGCCUGCGCGGAAGAUGUAACGGGGCUAAACCAUGCACCGAAGCUGCGGCAGCGACACUGUGUGUUGUUGGGUAGGGGAGCGUUCUGUAAGCCUGUGAAGGUGUGCUGUGAGGCAUGCUGGAGGUAUCAGAAGUGCGAAUGCUGACAUAAGUAACGAUAAAGCGGGUGAAAAGCCCGCUCGCCGGAAGACCAAGGGUUCCUGUCCAACGUUAAUCGGGGCAGGGUGAGUCGACCCCUAAGGCGAGGCCGAAAGGCGUAGUCGAUGGGAAACAGGUUAAUAUUCCUGUACUUGGUGUUACUGCGAAGGGGGGACGGAGAAGGCUAUGUUGGCCGGGCGACGGUUGUCCCGGUUUAAGCGUGUAGGCUGGUUUUCCAGGCAAAUCCGGAAAAUCAAGGCUGAGGCGUGAUGACGAGGCACUACGGUGCUGAAGCAACAAAUGCCCUGCUUCCAGGAAAAGCCUCUAAGCAUCAGGUAACAUCAAAUCGUACCCCAAACCGACACAGGUGGUCAGGUAGAGAAUACCAAGGCGCUUGAGAGAACUCGGGUGAAGGAACUAGGCAAAAUGGUGCCGUAACUUCGGGAGAAGGCACGCUGAUAUGUAGGUGAAGUCCCUCGCGGAUGGAGCUGAAAUCAGUCGAAGAUACCAGCUGGCUGCAACUGUUUAUUAAAAACACAGCACUGUGCAAACACGAAAGUGGACGUAUACGGUGUGACGCCUGCCCGGUGCCGGAAGGUUAAUUGAUGGGGUCAGCGCAAGCGAAGCUCUUGAUCGAAGCCCCGGUAAACGGCGGCCGUAACUAUAACGGUCCUAAGGUAGCGAAAUUCCUUGUCGGGUAAGUUCCGACCUGCACGAAUGGCGUAAUGAUGGCCAGGCUGUCUCCACCCGAGACUCAGUGAAAUUGAACUCGCUGUGAAGAUGCAGUGUACCCGCGGCAAGACGGAAAGACCCCGUGAACCUUUACUAUAGCUUGACACUGAACAUUGAGCCUUGAUGUGUAGGAUAGGUGGGAGGCUUUGAAGUGUGGACGCCAGUCUGCAUGGAGCCGACCUUGAAAUACCACCCUUUAAUGUUUGAUGUUCUAAC
rnacentral:rRNA from 1 species